GUGGGGAAUCUUCCGCAAUGGACGAAAGUCUGACGGAGCAACGCCGCGUGAGUGAUGAAGGUCUUCGGAUUGUAAAGCUCUGUUAAUCGGGACGAAAGAGCCUAGUGUGAAUAAUGCUAGGAAGUGACGGUACCGGAAUAGAAAGCCACGGCUAACUACGUGCCAGCAGCCGCGGUAAUACGUAGGUGGCAAGCGUUGUCCGGAAUUAUUGGGCGUAAAGCGCGCGCAGGCGGAUCUGCCAGUCUGUCUUAAAAGUUCGGGGCUUAACCCCGUGAUGGGAUGGAAACUACAGAGCUAGAGUAUCGGAGAGGAAAGUGGAAUUCCUAGUGUAGCGGUGAAAUGCGUAGAUAUUAGGAAGAACACCAGUGGCGAAGGCGACUUUCUGGACGAAAACUGACGCUGAGGCGCGAAAGCCAGGGGAGCGAACGGGAUUAGAAACCCGUGUAGUCC
rnacentral:rRNA from 1 species